GUAUAAAUGAUUAUAUAAUAAUAUACAUAUACAUAUGUAUGUGUGUGUGAGUGUGUUAUAUAUCAUCACCACAACAUUAACUCUACAUAUGAUUAAGAUGAGAUCUGCAACUCUGCUCUCUCUUGUUCUCUUCAUCCUCAUCUUAUCUCAUGAGAAUCUUGAUGCCAAACCAGACAUGACUUCUUUCAAUUCAGUCCAUGUGGGAAAGAAGACGAAGGGUGAGCAAGAAAAUCAAAAUGAGUCGGAAGAAAGUGGCUUUGAGGACCAAGAUUACAUCUAUACUCAAUCUAUCCCUUAGAUUCAAAUGUAUGUAUGUAUGUAUGAUGCAAGCAAAUUUGAUGGAGUUAACUAUGUUUCAUGGUCAACUUUUAGGAACUUUUUGUUUAUUUAAUUUCAUUAGUAUAUAUUAAUAACAAGUACAAGUCUGUGUAUUUUUUUUUAA